UGUAGAUUGUUGUUGGCAAGAUGGC
rnacentral:piRNA from 1 species